rnacentral:rRNA from 1 species
AAAUUGAAGAGUUUGAUCAUGGCUCAGAUUGAACGCUGGCGGCAGGCCUAACACAUGCAAGUCGAACGGUAACAGGAAGCAGCUUGCUGCUUUGCUGUCGAGUGGCGGACGGGUGAGUAAUGUCUGGGAAACUGCCUGAUGGAGGGGGAUAACUACUGGAAACGGUGGCUAAUACCGCAUAACGUCGCAAGACCAAAGAGGGGGACCUUCGGGCCUCUUGCCAUCAGAUGUGCCCAGAUGGGAUUAGCUUGUUGGUGAGGUAACGGCUCACCAAGGCGACGAUCCCUAGCUGGUCUGAGAGGAUGACCAGCCACACUGGAACUGAGACACGGUCCAGACUCCUACGGGAGGCAGCAGUGGGGAAUAUUGCACAAUGGGCGCAAGCCUGAUGCAGCCAUGCCGCGUGUAUGAAGAAGGCCUUCGGGUUGUAAAGUACUUUCAGCGGGGAGGAAGGUGUUGUGGUUAAUAACC